AAGCCUGAGCACCUUCAUGCCCUGGUUCAAGUCAAGUGGCACCUCCUUGGAUUGUGCUCAUCCCCUUGCAUUGUUUUGCCCCUUGUGCUUUUCUCUCUGUGGGUAUUUAUGUGUUUGUGUUGCUCACAGUUAAAUGAUAAAGAUUAAAUAUUGUAAUGCUUCAGUCUACAGUGUAUGCUGCUCUUUUUGUAUGUGUGGAUUGAGGUAAUAUCACUGUACUGACAGCAUGGAAAUUUUCACUGAUGCAAACAGAAAUACAUAUUUUAUAUUUUCACAGAUUUCUCUUUCAAUGAAAUAAGCUCUCACUCAGACAAAAAGGCCUUUGUUCAUAUUUGCUUCAAAUCUUAAUUAGCAGUUGAGCUUUGAAAAUAUAACAAGCAAAGAAGUCCAGCCUUCACAGCCAUUUCCUUUGUGCUAAGGACAGAAGCAGCUGUAAAGGACACUGUGUUUUCCUGAUCUCUUGGGUUUAUUUUAUUGACAUUCUUCUAGACUGUUUCUCCAAAAGUGCCUAUUGCUUGAGGACUGUCUUACAACUAAGCCUGUCAGUUUUAGCUGGGGCUUCUUUUCUGUUGGUUUACCAAACAGCAGCUGCAGCUGGAUGCAGUGCACACACAGAGGAGGACCCGACUGCAGAGAGAUCGCUGCCACGUGCCGGAUCUACAGAUGCAUUGGGAACGCCUGCCUGUGUAAACACAGAUGCUAUUUUGCAAAAGUUUCUAGAUAGCAGCUGAAUGAUGACUCAGACAUUUUUUGUCACUGCAGAGCUGCACAUGGUCUUGUGUACAGCAUCGUGAAAGACAUUAGAGCAAACGUACCAAUGAAGAGCUCUUUACUCUGGAAUUUUUGUGCACCCCACAUUUUUGCAAUAAUGCUCUCUGCAAUAAGCCAUAAUGUUCUUCUGUGACACGACAUGCAUAGCAAUAAAAAGAGAUAACUGGCAUCCUUAUGUUUAAGU
rnacentral:lncRNA from 1 species